GACGAACGCUGGCGGCGUGCUUAACACAUGCAAGUCGAACGCUGAAGCUCAGCUUUUGUUGGGUGGAUGAGUGGCGAACGGGUGAGUAACACGUGAGUAACCUGCCCCCUUCUUUGGGAUAACGCCCGGAAACGGGUGCUAAUACUGAAUAUUCACUGGUCUUCGCAUGGGGGUUGGUGGAAAGGGUUUUUCUGGUGGGGGAUGGGCUCGCGGCCUAUCAGCUUGUUGGUGGGGUGAUGGCCUACCAAGGCUUUGACGGGUAGCCGGCCUGAGAGGGUGACCGGUCACAUUGGGACUGAGGUACGGCCCAGACUCCUACGGGAGGCAGCAGUGGGGAAUAUUGCACAAUGGGCGCAAGCCUGAUGCAGCGACGCCGCGGGAGGGAUGGAGGCCUUCGGGUUGUGAACCUCUUUCGCUCAUGGUCAAGCCGCAACAAUGGUUGUGGUGAGGGUAGUGGGUAAAGAAGCGCCGGCUAACUACGUG
rnacentral:rRNA from 1 species